UAAAAUCUCAAUACUUGUAUGACAUUUACAUUUUUGAAAGUUUUCAUAGCUCUCGAUGAUGUUAAAUCAACAUGGUAUGUUAGGAAAAAUGAGUCAGACACAUUUGACCGAGACUAUAAAAUUUAGGGGUGGCAAAACAAAGACACAACAACCAUAGAACCUGCAAGACACGCAAGCAUUGUAUACCAUGGAGAGAGUAGCUCCAGCAUGGAGAGGGAGACUGUGUCCAUAUACAGCCUUACCAAAGGAAGAAAUUCACAUUAGAUCUCACCUUUGCUUAUUUCAGCAGCAAGACUAUCUCAAAAGAAAUGCCUUCUUCUCAAAAGAAAACUUACAUGUGGCCAACAAGCAUAUGAAAAAAAGCUCAGUAUCACUAAUCAUUAGAGAAAUGCAAAUCAAAACCUCAGUGAGAUACUAUCUCCUACCAGUCGGAAUGGCUACUGAAAAGUACAAAGAUAAUAGAAAGUGGCAAGGAUGUGGAGAAAAGGGAACACUUAUACACCACUGGUGGGAGUGUAAAUUAGUUCAACUACUGUGGAAAGCAAUGUGGCAUAUCUUCAAAGAGCUAGAAGCUGAACUGCCACUCAACCCAGCAAUACCGUGACUGGCUGUAAGCCCAGUGGAAUAUAAAUCAUUCCACCAUAAAGACACAUGCACGUGAAUGUUCAUUAUAGCACCGUUCACAACAGCAAAGGCACGGAAUCAACCUAAAUGUCCAUCAAUGACAGAUUAGAUAAAGAAAAUGUGGCACAUGUACACCAUGGAAUACUAUGCAGCCAUAAAAAGGAAUGCGAUCAAGUCCUUUGCAGCAACAUGGAUGGAGCUGGAGGCCAUUAUUCUUGGCAAACUAAUGCAGGAACAGAAAACCAAAUACAUGUUUCACUUAUGAGUGGAAUCUAAGUCUGGACAUCGUGGCUCACAGCUGUAAUCCCAGCAUUUCAGAAGGCCAAGUUGGGCAGAUCACCUGAGAUCAGGAGUUCGAGACCAGCCUGACCAAUACGGUGAAACCCUGUCUCUACUAAAAAUAUAAAACUGAGCCAGGUGUGGUUGUGGGCGCCUGUAGUCCCAGCUACUUGGGAAGCUUAGACAGGAG
rnacentral:lncRNA from 10 species